rnacentral:rRNA from 1 species
UCCAACCCCUGUGACAUACCUUAAUGUUGCCUCGGCGGAUCAGCCCGCGCCCCGUAAAACGGGACGGCCCGCCAGAGGACCCAAACUCUAAUGUUUCUUAUUGUAACUUCUGAGUAAAACAAACAAAUAAAUCAAAACUUUCAACAACGGAUCUCUUGGUUCUGGCAUCGAUGAAGAACGCAGCAAAAUGCGAUAAGUAAUGUGAAUUGCAGAAUUCAGUGAAUCAUCGAAUCUUUGAACGCACAUUGCGCCCGCUGGUAUUCCGGCGGGCAUGCCUGUUCGAGCGUCAUUUCAACCCUCAAGCCCCCGGGUUUGGUGUUGGGGAUCGGCUCUGCCCUUCUGGGCGGUGCCGCCCCCGAAAUACAUUGGCGGUCUCGCUGCAGCCUCCAUUGCGUAGUAGCUAACACCUCGCAACUGGAACGCGGCGCGGCCAUGCCGUAAAACCCCAACUUCUGAAUGUUGACCUCGGAUCAGGUAGGAAUACCCGCUGAACUUAAGCAUAUCAAUAAGCGGAGGA